rnacentral:rRNA from 1 species
ACCGUGCAAAGGUAGCAUAAUCAUUUGUUCUCUAAAUAGGGACUUGUAUGAAUGGCCACACGAGGGUUUAACUGUCUCUUACUUCCAAUCAGUGAAAUUGACCUUCCCGUGAAGAGGCGGGAAUACACCAAUAAGACGAGAAGACCCUAUGGAGCUUCAAUUAACUAACCCAUAAUAACCAAUCAACUUACCAACUAGGUCUAACAUAACUUUAUUACUGGGCUAGCAAUUUAGGUUGGGGUGACCUCGGAGAAUAAAACAACCUCCGAGUGAUUUAAUCACAGACAAACCAGUCGAAGCGUUCUAUCAUUCAUUGAUCCAAUAAUUUGAUCAACGGAACAAGUUACCCUAGGGAUAACAGCGCAAUCCUAUUUGAGAGUCCAUAUCAACAAUAGGGUUUACGACCUCGAUGUUGGAUCAGGACAUCCUAAUGGUGCAGCAGCUAUUAAAGGUUCGUUUGUUCAACGAUUAAAGUCCUACGUGAUCUGAGUUCAGACCGG